GGUCUUGUGGUGUAGUGGUUAACAUGCCAGUCUGUCACACUGGAGAUCGCGGGUUCAAGUCCCGUCAAGACCGCCA
rnacentral:tRNA from 1 species